CUCUCUCUUCUUCCCUCCCUCUCUGUUCUCCUCUCUCUAAAAUCAAUAGAAAAAAAUAUAUAUAUCAUGGAUGAGGAUUUAAAAGAAAAAGAUAAGGAGUUGGCCUGACUAACAGAUGAGGGAGUUCCAAGCCAAGAGGACAUGAAGCUAUGAGAGAGCAAAGUUCUAUUGUGUGAAGCUUCUAAUGCAAAAUAGGAAACUAAUAGUUUUGGGAAUGGGGAAUAAGCCUGAGUUGGUGAGCAGAGACCAGAGCACCAAGGGCUUUGCCUGCUUUUCAGAAGUUUGUAUGCCACCUGGAAAGUAAGGGACCCAUUGAAGACUUUUUGAGCAGAAGGAUGACAGCAUCAGAUUUGGUGGCAAGAUGGGAGGCUGAUCUGGAGAACCAGGACCCAGAGCAGGGCUUCUUACUCAGUCCUAGGACUUGCAAGAGGUCCAUGGUUGGUAUGCUUGGAGAGAAAAGAAAAUGACAUUGUUAUUGUCACUAAACUCUUAACUGAAAUUAAGCAUCUUCUUCAACUAUUUGUAGGCAGCAGAUGACAGUAGAAUUAGCAGAAGAAGUGAGUUUAUCGCCAGUAGAAGUCAGGUAUUUUGGUAUCAUUGUAUAGUUAUUGCAGAUAUCUCAAAAUACACUUUACAUGUUUCACUAAACCCAAAUUACUAUAGCCAUUAGACCCUGAGCUACAUCUUAUCAUUUAAUGAAUUAAUAAAGGAGAACAUGUAUUAUUACACCACAACUUAAAAAUGAUGUAUAUGUGCAUUUUAGAAUCCAUCUUUUGUGAUCUCUAUAAUUAAUUAUAUGAUUUAAACACUGUGUCCUGAGAACGGGUUCCAUAGUUUUCACCUUGACUGCCAAAGGGGUCAUAAAAGCUCAGAACUCAUGCACCAGAGGAAGGUGUUCGUGAGGAGGUCACUUCAACCUAAAGCAGGAAUGGGAAGGAAGGAGUUGAAUAAAUGACUGAUAGAUUCCAAAGGCACUUCCUAUUUCAAGGUUCUUAUGUACAUCAAUUGUAUCAUACUCCAGUUCCAGAAUUUAUACCAACUGUGACAUUCUAGGACAUGGUGCUUUUACCUAAAAUUCUCAAGUUUUCUGUCAUUUGUUUUUACAUAAAAUUACACAGAAUGUGCAAAUAAAAA